rnacentral:rRNA from 1 species
GACGAACGCUGGCGGCGUGCUUAACACAUGCAAGUCGAACGGUGAAGCGCCUUCCUUUUUGGUGGGUGUGGAUGAGUGGCGAACGGGUGAGUAACACGUGAGUAACCUGCCCCCUUCUUCUGGAUAACCGCAUGAAAGUGUGGCUAAUACGGGAUAUUCUGGGUCUGUCGCAUGAUGGGUCUGGGAAAGAUAUUGUUUCGGUGGGGGAUGGGCUCGCGGCCUAUCAGCUUGUUGGUGGGGUGAUGGCCUACCAAGGCGGUGACGGGUAGCCGGCCUGAGAGGGUGGACGGUCACACUGGGACUGAGACACGGCCCAGACUCCUACGGGAGGCAGCAGUGGGGAAUAUUGUACAAUGGGCGCAAGCCUGAUGCAGCGACGCCGCGUGAGGGAUGGAGGCCUUCGGGUUGUGAACCUCUUUCGCCAGUGAAGCAGGCCUGCCUCGUUUGUGGGUGGGUUGACGGUAGCUGGAUAAGAAGCGCCGGCUAACUACGUG